GACGAACGCUGGCGGCGUGCUUAACACAUGCAAGUCGAACGGUAAGGCCCUUCGGGGUACACGAGUGGCGAACGGGUGAGUAACACGUGGGUGAUCUGCCCUGCACUUUGGGAUAAGCCUGGGAAACUGGGUCUAAUACCGAAUAGGACCAUGGACUUCACGGUUUGUGGUGGAAAGCUUUUGCGGUGUGGGAUGGGCCCGCGGCCUAUCAGCUUGUUGGUGGGGUAAUGGCCUACCAAGGCGACGACGGGUAGCCGGCCUGAGAGGGUGACCGGCCACACUGGGACUGAGAUACGGCCCAGACUCCUACGGGAGGCAGCAGUGGGGAAUAUUGCACAAUGGGCGCAAGCCUGAUGCAGCGACGCCGCGUGAGGGAUGACGGCCUUCGGUUGUAAACCUCUUUCAGCACAGACGAAGCGCAAGUGACGGUAUGUGCAGAAGAAGGACCGGCCAACUACGUAGCCAGCAGCCGCGGUAAU
rnacentral:rRNA from 1 species